AGAAAUAUUUAAUUUGUUAGAGCCAAAGGAGCUAGGUAUUGUUUCGUGUGCUUGUACGUUAUUGUAUCAGAUUGCAUCAGAGCACCAUGUGUGGAAGGAGUUCUAUUGUGAAAGGUGGGGGCAGCCAAUAUUGCAGGCACCUUUUGGUGCAGGGCUUUCGGAUGGGAAGUUGUGGAAGGAGCUGUUUGUGGAGAGGGAGUUUCGGAGUAAAACAUUCAUGGGACGGUAUACUAUCGAUAUGUUGUAUGGUCAUACUGAGGAUGUUAGAGCAGUUUUUGUUUUAGCUUCAAAGAAGCUUGUGUUUACAUCAGGUUAUGAUCAAAUAGUGCGAAUGUGGGACUUAGAAGAAGGGUUGUCAAUUGCCUCAUCUGAACCUCUUGGCUGCACUAUCCGUGCAGUUGCAGCUGAUUCAAGGCUGUUAGUGGCUGGGGGUACUGGUGGAUUCAUACAUGGUUGGAAAGCGAAUGAAGAAAAUCCUCAUUUGUUUGAUCUUAGAGCAUCUCAGAACGAGGAAAUGCAAUUCCAAGUUUGGGAACAUGGUGGGCCAAUAACAUGUCUUGCGUUGGAUUUCAAUAGGAUGUAUAGCGGUUCAUGGGACAUGAGUAUUCGUGUUUGGGAUCGAUCUUCUCUGGAGUGUUUGAAAGUUUUGAUACACAGUGACUGGGUGUGGAAUCUUGCUCCCCAUGACACAACAGUGGCAAGCACAGCAGGCUCGGAUCUUUAUGUUUGGGAUACUAAUAGUGGGUCAAAACUUGCUAUAAUCGGCAAUGCUCAUGCUGG
rnacentral:misc_RNA from 1 species